AUUGGAUCAUAUAUGGAGAACAGUGUAGUUGACUCUCAUGAUGAGCAUAAGUGACGAUUGAUAAGGUCAAUACUUUUACACCAAAUAAACUUGAGAGACCUUUCGCAUCGCGACGCAUGCAGUUUGUUGUUGGAACGGUCGGUUCGUAAUGGCUUUGUUCUACUUGUGUCUCUCCUUCGCUUGUCUGUAUGUAGUUCAAGGUUAUGCGCCUCGCAGCAUUCGUAAUAGACCGCCGUGUUACCGUAAUCCUGAGCUGGACAAGAAUUCGAAAGAAGUUAUGUAAGUUUUGUAUUCUUUCUUCUAUGAAAGUUGGACGGACAUGUUUUAUAAUCAUGGCUGACAAUGGCUCUAUAUGUUUGGAAAUAUUCUGUGUCUAUAGCAUACUGUAAAACUGCGGACACACUUUUUGCUGUGACCGAAGGACACGAUUAGGUCACCAGUAAACACAUUUCUCUCUUCAAUGCUUAUCUAUCUAUAUAUUUAUUUAUUUAUUUAUUUAUUUAUUUAUAAACUUCGCCUUGGACAUACAGCGCUUUAGAAUCACAAUAAUGGCCGUUUUUAUACUAGAGACGCAUUAUGCGUCUGGACGCAUAAUCCGUCUUCUAUAUUAUUCGUCUAGUAUAAAGACGGGACGAAUAAUCAGACGAACUAUCAGCAUUUAUUGUUCGUCUGGUUAUGCGUCCUCAGUAUAAAGACGGGCACAAGACGCAUUGUGCGUCUAGACGAACUAUCAUCGGUUGUGCGUCUCUUAAGACGAAGAAGAAUCGAACAUAGUUCGUCUAGACGCAUAAUGCGUCUUGUGCUCGUCUUUAUACUGAGGACGCAUAACCAGACGAACAACAAAUGCUUGCCCAAGUUCGUCCAGACGCAUAAUGCAUCUCUAGUAUAAAAACGGCCAAUUACACAUAAGCAGAAUAACAUAUUGCCAGAUAUUGGCUUGACAGUAUAAAAACUGUAUUAUGUUGGAUGCAGGACCUCACCUAGGCAUAGAGUAAACGAAAUUUUAUUUCAUAAUGGUGAUUCCAACUACAAUACAGACUAAAUUUUGAUCAAGGCACGAAGAACGAAAUCCAACACCACACCGGCACAGCUAGAAAGAACGUCUUAGAAUGAGUAAAACUGCAACGAUUGCAUGGUUGCUAAAUGUUGUAAAAUGAAGAAAAUAUAGCCCUGUCAAGCCGUUCGCAAAUUUUGUAUAUAUUUGUAUUACGCGCGGUAAAAAUAAGUUUCGGAUCAAAAAUGGUUAUUUUUUCCGCGCGUAAUGCAAAUUACAUACAAAAUUUGCGAACUUCACAAGGUAUAUUUUCCUCAUUUUACAACAAUUAGCAACCAAACUUUGCAAUUUUACUCAUUUAAAGAGGCUCUUUCCAGCUAUGGUAAUGGCUUCGUUCUUCUUGUCUAGAUCAAAAUUUCGUCUAUAGCUGGAUCAUCUGUUGCAUGUACACAACAGGCAUAGAGGAGGCAUCGACAUGCAUGUGUUCUAUGUGGUCCUGCCUUCUAUCUUUCUUGACCGCGAGGUUGUGCUAAAAAGGCAGCAUUUACUACAUUUUAAGCAACCUAUAGUAUAAUAUUGCAUGCAUAAUCACGAGUUCUUGAAAUGUACACAGUUGAAGAACAGAGUUAUCGUGGCAUUUUGUGUGCCCAAUCAACAUUAUAACAUGAUCGAGAACUGUUACGAAUCACUACAGACCAGUAGCAACUAGUAGCCGGUCCCUAGUACUUUAUUUGGCCGCCACUCUUGAUCAGUAGUGGUAGUAUUAACAGGGUUCGUACAAAACUUGAAAGUCCUUGAAUGUCCUUGAAUUUGAAAACAAAAAUUCAAGGCCUUGAGGCUUGAAUGUCCUGGAAUUUGCAAAGAAGUACUUGAAUGACCUUGAAUUCUUCUUGCUUAAUUAGUUUUUGGAAAUUUCUGAAAUUGUUUGACAUUCAAGACGGACAUUUUGUUGAACUGAUUUUGCAUGUUCAUAUCUGACCUCAUUAUAAAGUUACGUUUUGAACAAUUCAACGUCAGAUUUUGCUGAUUUCUAACGCCUUCUUCAGUAUUUAGUCCUUGAAUUUGCUGAUACACGGCCUUUCAUGAAUGUCCUUGAAAAGUCCUUGAAUUUGACUCUUCCUGACAUGUACGAAACCUGUAUUAAACUAUAAGGGUAUACCGUAUACGUAAUUAUACUAAACUGUAUUCUUCCUUUAUAAGACAAAGCCGCUAAUGAAAUACAAAUUUAUAACUAGUAGUGGUAGUAUAUAUAUAUAGCUAAAAAAUAGUUGCAACUUUAAAAUUGUCGUAAGUAUAAUUGUUCAUCAUACUUUAAUAAAUGUACCUUUGGCGAUAUAUUUGCUAGAACAAAUAGUGGAAUCUAGACUAUUCCAAAGAUAUUAAUAUUUACAUUAAUAACUUAUUAGUUUUUGGAACAGGUAAGUGGUACACAGACUUUGAUCGAGUGUUAUAUUCAUGUGAAUACUUAAAGUUUUUAAUUUGUUUGAGACGAUUUGUUCAUAAUUUUCUUUAGUAAGUGUAUAGGAGAUUGCUUAGUUCGAUUUACUCCGUACUGAUUGAUAUAUUUCCAACAGUAAAACGCCUCGCCCUCACGAGUACAUCAAUGUCAAAGACCUUCCAGCUUCUUGGGAUUGGAGAAACCUUAAUGGCAAGAACUACGUCAGUGUAACACGUAAUCAACACAUCCCACAAUAUUGUGGUUCAUGUUGGGCAAUGGCAACCACAAGUGCUUUAUCUGACAGAAUUAACAUUCAGAGGAAAGGCGUGUGGCCAGUGAAUUAUCUUUCCGUUCAAAAUGUCCUUGAUUGUGGUAGGUUGCUUUAUUAAAGGAGUACAAAAGUGUUUCGUUGCAAACAUUUAACAUGCCAUCAAGUGUAGGGCAGUUCCCCCUGUCUCGUACCCCUGUAAAAAUUAUCUGGGAAGGGGGGUGGUGUGGUCUCUGAAUUUCCCCCAUUUUGGGUUAAGAUUUCUGAAUGAUGCAAAAUUAAACGUCGUAUGUUUUGUUUUCUAAAGCCCAGGGCAAACUAGGAAACAUUGUUGCGGAAACGUUUGUGAUUCUAAAUGCAUGCUUCCUCAAAUGUUUGCCCACCCGUGGAAACAUUGUUGCGGAAACAAAAUUUGCUUCCCGGGAAGCAAAAUGUUUCCUACCAAAUUCAGAAACAUUUGAUGUUUCCCUAUGUUUCUCACUAAUGUUUCCUAGUGUUUGCUCACUCAGGGAAACAUGGCGAAACAUUGGUAGGAAACAAUGUUUCCGCAACAAUGUUUCCGCAACAAUGUUUCCGCAACAAUGUUUCCGCAACAAUGUUUCCUAGUUUGCCCUGGGCUUAAGAGUGUGCCGAUUAUAUACUUUUCCCAGGUAAUGCAGGUUCGUGUGAUGGGGGCGAUAUGAUCCCAGUGUAUAAAUAUGCACAUACUGAUGGUAUCCCGGAUGAAACGUGCAAUAACUACCAAGCAAAAAAUCAGGACUGCGAUAAAGAACAUCAAUGCAAGACUUGCUCUUAUGCUGGUCAUUGUUAUUCUAUCAAGAACUACACUCAUUUUAAAGUGAGCGAGUACGGUAAGCAAUAAUUGUUUUGUGGAAAACACCACUAACGUUUAUUCUGUUUAUUGAAGACGAUAUUACACGGAACAAUUGGAUACGAACUACGAAGAUUUGUUUUUCAUUUAAAUUUGGAAUAGUAAAUAGAAAUUAUAUUAUUUUUAACGACUACAUAAGGCAUAACGCCCCAAAUGAAAUAUGGUUGUCUCACUUGUCUGACCCAUUAAUGACUAGAUAACAUGGACCAUAUAUUCAGUACUUAAGCCUGGUUUCCAUAUGGUCGUAACGGUCGUAAAGAUUGAGUCACGAUCUUUCUCAUCAGCCGAAAUACAACAUUUUAGAACUGAAAAUACGCGGAGUGAUUAUAGCUAGAGAAUACUUAUGAUUUAUAUGUUGUUUACUGGUAUAAACUAUAUAAACUGGCCGUUGAGAAAGAUCGUGACUCUAUUUUUACGACCGUAUCGAAACCAAGCUUUAAUGUAAUGUAGUUAUUGACUAUUGUUGUGUUUUACGAUGCUAAUAGAUUUCUUCUGAUUUCAAAUCAGGUCAUGUUAAGGGUCUAGAUAAGAUGAAAGCAGAAAUUUACCAACGUGGUCCUAUUGCUUGUGGAAUCAUGGCCACAGCCAAGUUAGAUGCCUAUCAAGGUGGAAUAUACUCAGAAUACAACGAAGAUCAUGAUACCAACCAUAGUGUCUCUGUGGUCGGGUGGGGUGUGGAGAAUGGUACUGAAUACUGGAUUGUUCGCAACUCCUGGGGUAGGCCCUGGGGCGAGAAAGGAUGGUUGAGAAUCGUUACAAGUGCUUACAAGAAAGGCGAAGGAGAUAAAUACAAUCUUAGCAUUGAAAGCGGUUGUGUCUUUGCUGUUCCCGUUAUUUCAUCUGAAAUGAUGAAAAAUUAACUCGACCAUUUGCAAAAUGAUUGGAUUUGAUUUUAUACUAAGAUCUAUUAAUUACUAAAAGUAAAUUUAGUAUAUUUAGAUGAAUAAGAUGAUUCAAUUAAAUUGUGACAGAGAAUGCGUAAAUUUUAGUAAAAUGAUUAGAUUUUCAAGAUUUGGUUUACUAGCUAAGAUCUAUUGGUAAAUUUAGUCAAUAUUUAGAUGUUUCAAUUAAAUUGUGACAGAAAAUGCAUAAGUUUUAGUAUAUGUGUAAAGAGCAUGAGAUAUAGACUAUAAAAGAUACCAGAAUUGUUCUGUAUGUACCUGGGUGAAUUACGGCUGAGUCAAGGGUCAGUGGCGUAACGCUCAUUAGAUAGGGUUGGUUCCAAAACUAAGCCCCCUACACAAUAAUACACACAGUUACGGGCCCAGAAUAUUAGAAAACGUAAAAAAUGCAAAUUAAGAAUCAAUGGGAAAAUGCAAAAUUAAUAAUGCUAAAGAAUGAAAUCUCCAUCGACAACGGUAGCUGACUUUUUUAUGCCAUCUCAAAUAAAACAAAAGUUAUUCUUACUAGUUGUUACAUGUGUUGGAGACUGUUAUUGUAUUUGUUAUAGACAGGGAAUUUUCCAGAACAUUCUAUAAAUAUUCAAUAUAAAUAUAAUAUCUCAGUCAAACAAUGACGACAGUCAACGGGGCCCCCACACCAAAUAUGCCUAAGGGCCCCUUCUUCCUCUGUUACGCCAAUGUCAAGGGUAUAUACAUGACCAACAUCACAAGAAGUGUUUUUCAGAUGGUUCCUGUAAAACAUUAAAAUACAAA
rnacentral:lncRNA from 1 species